AGGGUAGCUAUGUUACUAGCGGGAGUUAUUUUGGAGUACCUGGUGGAAGUUGGGUAGCUGGCACCAAUGGAUCCAUGAAUGCACACCAUCUGCCUCUUGUGGGUGCCAAACAGGCAUCAACUGGUAACAACAAAAUUAUUCGAGGACCAGCGCCUGCCUAAGUUUGGAGGGCAGCGGGUUCGAUGUCAAUGUUAGCUGCAUUGCUGUUUGAAGGGCAGAAUAGUUGUUUUGUGCUAUGAAUGUAUGGGGGAUUUCUUGGAUGCAGAAUAUGAGAUAUUGUACUAUGGAUGUAUGGGGUCUUUUUGUUGUAUGCAAGUCUACUCACCUUUUGGCGCAUGUUGGAUUUGUUGAAUGCGAGGAUAGCCCUUUUCCAUCAUUUCUUGUUGUAAGAUGUGGAGCUUACUAUUGGUCUUGUGCUAGGGUUUGUAAGGCUAUUCCACUUUAGUUCAGAGGUGGUGUUUUUUUGGUGUGUUCGAGUUUGCCCAUUGUUGGUUAGAUUGUGAUAGUUUGUAUGGCAGUUUUGUCGAAGCUGUCUGAGUGCUUAGACCUCUCGCCUAUUGUCUUAUUUUGUUUGUUUAUGUUAUUUUUGUAUACCUCUCUUCCAUAUAAUAGGCAUGGUUUCCUAUUAUUUUUGUACAGUCUGCCUAAAUAGACGUACAGGCUAUUUUUUGUGUGUAAAGAAUGUUAUGCAGGAAAGGGAAUAGAGGAAAGGGAAAAAAACAAAGGAAAAUUUAGUUAUCA